rnacentral:rRNA from 1 species
ACGGGCAGACUAGAGUGCGGUAGGGGAGAUUGUAAUUCCUGGUGUAGCGGUGGAAUGCGCAGAUAUCAGGAGGAACACCGAUGGCGAAGGCAGAUCUCUGGGCCGUAACUGACGCUGAGGAGCGAAAGGGUGGGGAGCAAACAGGCUUAGAUACCCUGGUAGUCCACCCCGUAAACGUUGGGAACUAGUUGUGGGGUCCAUUCCACGGAUUCCGUGACGAAGCUAACGCAUUAAGUUCCCCGCCUGGGGAGUACGGCCGCAAGGCUAAAACUCAAAGGAAUUGACGGGGACCCGCACAAGCGGCGGAGCAUGCGGAUUAAUUCGAUGCAACACGAAGAACCUUACCAAGGCUUGACAUAUACCGGAAACGGCCAGAGAUGGUCGCCCCGCAAGGUCGGUAUACAGGUGGUGCAUGGUUGUCGUCAGCUCGUGUCGUGAGAUGUUGGGUUAAGUCCCGCAACGAGCGCAACCCUCGUUCUAUGUUGCCAGCACGUAAUGGUGGGAACUCAUGGGAUACUGCCGGGGUCAACUCGGAGGAAGGUGGGGAUGACGUCAAAUCAUCAUGCCCCUUAUGUCUUGGGCUUCACGCAUGCUACAAUGGCCGGUACAAAGGGCUGCGAUACCGUAAGGUGGAGCGAAUCCCAAAAAGCCGGACCCAGUUCGGAUUGAGGUCUGCAACUCGACCUCAUGAAGUCGGAGUCGCUAGUCAUCGCAGAUCAGCA